ACGCUCUUGGCUCCUAUUUGGUGACUUUUAUUUUUCUACUCAGCCACGCCCCUGGCUCCAAGAUGCAGCCAAUCCGAAAAUGUCCUUAGCAAAACUAUGCUGGGGAUUUAUUUCCGUAGUGUGUGUGAAUGAAGCCUGGAGGGAAUGGGAAAUCCUAAGGAGGUGGCAACAAGAAGAGGAAAUAGGAGAUCUUUUUUUCCUCAUUUUGCCUCCAAAAUAAGGAGGCAAAGAGCAAGUCACACUGAAUGCAAUGGAUAAAAUUACUUUGGACUUACUCUGAAUUUUCUGCCGUUGGCCUCCUGGAAACUCUCACCCAUGUAUUGCUAUAUUGCUCUUUAUAUCGGGAUGCUAGAGAAGAACUUAUUUCCCCUCUGUUACUCAAAUUUCCCGGAAGGUGUGAGCUCUUUUAUACAUAUUAUUGCCUCGCGGAUUCAAGCCCCGGGAUUACAACAAUUGUGGCUAAAUUUUUCUACAUUGCCAUUAGGUUAAGGUCCCUGUUAGGUGCUGAACUGCGAGAGCUGUCUAUUGUUUUUAAGUAAUUUAUUAUGAGUGAUUGCAUUCUGUUUUAUUGUGUGUUAGCAUUGUUUUAUUUAUCGUUGUAUUGAGUAUAUUUGUUACUCCUAUUUCUGCUGGCCAAUGUCCGUAAUAAAAUUGAUGAUGAUGUUUGUUGU